rnacentral:lncRNA from 1 species
CCCGGAUUCGGGCUCGCACUCGCCGCCGCUCCCGCCCGCCCAGGCCGCGUUUGGAGGAGACUGACCGCGGUGGUCCCAGCGCGCAGCGUCCGGCGCUGCGCGGGCCCCUGCCCUCCGCCCCCUCUGCCCUGGGAGCCCGGCCUGAGCGCUCACCUGCUGCGCCUCCAGCUCUACGUAUCCUGGCGCCGCCGAGGCCAAGGCUGGUCACCAUCUCUUAGGGAUUGUGUUGAUCCACAUUUUAGAGGGAUAACCUGCCCCUUUGUUGUCAAAGAUUUGGGGAAGAGGACUAGCUGGAAGAUGAGCCUGCAUAGUAUUUCAGGUAUUCACCAGGGACUCUGAAGUAUUUAGCCAAGGGCUCCUGUCAGAAAACAUGGUGGGGUGGGAGGAGGAGAGACUUGUGCUCAGCACUAAGACCACUUUCCCACAUUAAUGUCCACUUUGAUUGAUUCUUACUGGAAGGUGAACAUAUUAACUGUUGUUUGGAUGAAAAAUACUACUUUCAUGAAAAAUAAAUUACUCUUGAAAAUCACUGAAGUAAAUGAUCAUAGUUGAUUCCAGAAAAGAGGAAAAAAAAAUCCUGCACCGAGAAAAGAUUUCAUGUGUUAGAUCACUGUUAUAUUAAGGAAGAAAAAAGAAAAUCUGUAGGCAAAUUCUAUUUAUAAGAAUAAAGAACAAAGUUGAAAUGAAAAAUGUAAAAAUAGUUUAGCCUGAUAAAUUGGACAAUCAGUGGUACUACCUCAACAAAUGAAGUAGGAACAACAAGGCAGUGUAGUGGUUGAGGGAAAGUUAGGAGUACAUUUUUGAUGUAUGAAAAAUGAAGUGCUUAUUGCAUAUUUGCAUAAAGAUGAAGAGAAAGUUGGAAAUACAAGACUGGGAGUCAUUACAUGAGAAUGAUGAUAAAGAUUUGAUAGUAAAAAUUAAAGCUAAGAAAUGAAAUGAAUUCUCCCAGAUAUACCAGGUGAAAGAAGGAUUUUUUUUACAAAAACAUGAUAUUAUGGUAGAAUAUAAAGAAAUAUCAAAGUUUACAUGUUGCUAAGUUAGAGGAGCUGAUUCUGCACUAGGGGGAAGAAUAGUUCAGAAAGGGAAGAGAAGCAGCAAUGCAGUGCCAUGGGGAGACAUCCUGCAAUGGGCCCCGUCACCAGUGCAAAGUAUCAGAGCACAGAGGAUGACCAGUGAUGAAGUGAGGCUCAGUCCAAUUACAGUAAUUGAACUUCUGAAGAAUCUACAAACUGUAACUCUCUAAUACUUAACGUUUCCUUCAACAAUACAACUUCCAUUGUCUUUGUUUCUCAGACAACAGAUAAA